CAGUCGCCGCGGGAACACGUAGGGUGCAAGCGUUAAUCGGAAUUACUGGGCGUAAAGCGUGCGCAGGCGGUUUUGUAAGACAGAGGUGAAAUCCCCGGGCUCAACCUGGGAACUGCAUUUGUGACUGUAUAGCUAGAGUACGGCAGAGGGGGAUGGAAUUCCGCGUGUAGCAGUUAAAUGCGUAGAUAUGCGGAGGAACACCGAUGGCGAAGGCAAUCCCCUGGGCCUGUACUGACGCUCAUGCACGAAAGCGUGGGGAGCAAACAGGAUUAGAUACCUGUAGUCCCUGUCUCUUAUACAC
rnacentral:rRNA from 1 species